rnacentral:sRNA from 1 species
CAGUCGAGCGGCGAACGGGUGAGUAACACGUGGAUAACCUGCCCAGAGGUGGGGGAUAACCCGGGGAAACUCGGGCUAAUACCGCAUGAUACCGAGAGGUCAAAGGGGGCUCGCAAGGGCUCUCGCCAUUGGAGGGGUCCGCGUCCGAUUAGCUAGUUGGUAGGGUAAUGGCCUACCAAGGCGAGGAUCGGUAGCCGGCUUGAGAGGGUGAUCGGCCACACUGGAACUGAUGACACGGUCCAGACGAAUACGGGAGGCAGCAUUGCGAUCUUGAUGAUAAACUCGAGCCUCCCGGAAAUCUGCGG